GAGGGGGCGGGGCCACGCCCAGGCCCCGCCUCCCCCGGGGGGCUCCGGCCCCGCCCCCCCUCGGCGGCUCCGUCCGGGCCCGGGGCCUGGAGGGGAGCGGGAGCGGCGCCGGGAGCUGCCUCCGCCAUCGGGCGCCGCGCCGGAAGUGGCGUCACCGGAAGCCGGGGGGUGGGUUUUAUAGGGGGGAGUCACGUGACGCGCGUUGCUAGGAGACGAGGGGGCGGGGCCGGGCGUUGCUAGGAGACGGAGGGGUUGGCGGGGGUCACGUGACGCGCGUUGCUAGGAGACGAAGGGGCGUAGCCGGGCGUUGCUAGGGGAGGGGAGGGGCCGCGCGUUGCUAGGAGACGGAGGGGGCUGGCGGGGGUCACGUGAUGGGCGUUGCUAGGAGACGAGGGGGCGGGGCCAGGCGUUGCUAGGAGACGGGGGCUUGGCCAAUCGUUGCUAAGGGGCGUGGCCUCCGUUGCUAGGGGCGGGGCCUCCCGUUGCUAGGAGACGGAGGGGGGAGGCCUCAGGGCCUCCCAGUGCUCCCAGUGCCCUCCCAGUAGGCCACUGGCUCCGCCCAGUCCCCUCCCAGUUCAUCCCAGUUCAUCCCAGUGCCCCCCAGUCCCCUCCUAUACUGGUCCCAGUGCCUCCCAGUCCCCGCCCAGUCCCUCCAAUCCCCUCCCAGUCCCUCCCAGUCCCCUCCCAGUCCUUCCCAGUCGCUCCCAGUGCCCCUAAUCCCCUCCUAUACUGGUCCCAGUCCCUCCCAGUUACCUCCCAGUCCCUCCCAGUUACCUCCCAGUCCCUCCAAUCCCCUCCCAGUCCCCUCCCAGUCCCUCCAAUCCCCUCCCAGUCGCUCCCAGUCCCCGCCCAGUCCCUCCCAGUACCCACAGUUCCCUCCUAUACUGGUCCCAGUCCCUCCCAGUCGCUCCCAGUCACCACCCAGUCCCUCCAAUCCCCUCCCAGUCCCUCCCAGUCCCCUCCCAAUCCCCUCCCAGUCCCUCCCAGUCCCUCUCAGUCCCUCCCAGUCCUUCCCAGUCCCUCCCAGUCCUUCCUAGUCCCCUCCAAUCCCUUCCCAGUGCUCCCAGUCCCUCCCAGUCCCUCCCAGCCCCUCCUUCCCCUCCUUUUCCCCCUCCCCUCCCCCCAGGAAGUGACGCACCGCGGUGGGCGGGCCCUCGAAGCCGCCCCCUGACGUCACUUCCGCCCUCCCGCCCCCUUUUCCCAGCAGCCCCCGCGGCUCUGGAAGGGGGGUGGGGGA
rnacentral:lncRNA from 1 species